AACUUAAAUGUACACCACGAUAGAGACAGAGAGAGGCGAUGAGUACACGGAGACAGAAGAAAAGAAAGAGAGAGGCGAUGAAAUCAAAAGCCUAGGCAGAACGGUAAAAGGCACGGAGUGGGGAUUGGGGAGAGAGUAAAUCUGCCACCAUCAUCCGUUUUUCUUCACGCUGCCACUCUCUAAUACGCAAACCCAAAUCGUGAGAUAGAGUUCGUAAGAGGGAUAAUCGUUUCGGUACAAAUCAAAAGAAAAAAGACUGGGAUAGAGAGAGGGAGUUCACUAAGCCGUAUGCCCGCAAAAGUCCGAUCUUCCACCACCAUCAAACUCCUGUAACUCCACUGAUGAUGGUAACUUGGUAAAGAAGUGGACUACUAAAGAAAAUCUCUACCCAAUCCACAAGCUUGAUCAUUCUAAAUUGCAGAACCUAUUCACAAUUAUGGGGUGCUAAUGCUGGAUGGCACAAUGGCAAAACAAUAAGCCACAUGGAGCAAACGGACGGAAGUUUAUAUACUUGAGGGUGGCCGAUGCAAUAAUAGAUUUGCCAUGAAAUGUUCAUAAAAGAAAUGUUCAACCUGUGUUGAUGCAAAGGAUAACUUCCACUCUUUUAAGUUUAUGAAAUUUUAUAUGUAUUACUUUUG